CUUUCCACAUGUUUUUACUCCAGAAAGUGAAGUAAUGGUGAAUUUUUUUUACAGAAAGUGGUUGUUUACCAUAAAGGUGCAAACAAAGUAUAUUGUUUUUGUUGCAAGUUGUUCAAAUCAAAACAGAGCAAGUCUAUGCUAGCAUCUGAUGUGAAUGACUGGAAGCGUUUGAGUGUGCAUCUCAAAUAUCAUGAGAACAGUGUUGAGCAUUUAACAAACAUGAAUACAUGGAACGAAGUUAGGUUGAUACUAAGCAAAAAUAUGAAAAUUGAUGAUGAUAUGCAAAGGGAGAUCACAAAGGAGAAGGAGCGUUGGAGACAAGUUUUGGUAAGAAUAGUUUCUACUGUCAAGUUUCCUGCAAAACAUACAUUGGCUUUUCAUGGAUCAAAUGAGAAGUUGUAUCAAGAUAAUAAUGAUAAUUUUUUGGGCACAAUUGAAAUGAUUGUUGAAUUUGAUCCUGUUAUGCAAUAA
rnacentral:rRNA from 1 species